CUGAAACCCUGACAGAAGUAUGAAGCCGUCUGGAGCACUGUGCCGCAGCACCUGUGACCCAGAGCGCCGCUAGCCGGAAAACCCUUUGGAGGAAUUAUACCUCGGACCGUGAAGAAUUGGCAAGUUGGAUUUUCUCCUGCUCCAACGUGACCCGCCCUGGUUUGAAACAAUUCCCUUAUUGUUUAACCUGAGUGUGGUGGCCUGUUUUCAUGCUGAAAUGUGCCUCGCUAGUUUAAGGCUGCGAUUGUUCUGUUGUACUUUGCGUGCAGCCAAAUGUUUAAAAUGUGGUUCUGCUCCCAGAUAAACAAAAACAAACAAA
ensembl:lncRNA